rnacentral:tRNA from 1 species
CUGGGUGGAGUAAAUGGUUAAUGCGUUCAGCUGCUAACUGAAAGGUUGGCAGUUUGAGUCCACCCAGA